rnacentral:piRNA from 1 species
UCCAGGAAGUCUCAACCAAUAGCUGAGC